rnacentral:rRNA from 1 species
CGUGUAGGCGGUUUUGUAAGCCUGGUGUGAAAUACUACAGCUCAACUGUAGAGACGCGCUGGGAACUGUGAGACUGGAGUUCAGGAGGGGAUGCUGGAAUUCCUGGUGUAGGGGUGAAAUCUGUAGAUAUCAGGAAGAACACCAAUGGCGAAGGCAAGCAUCUGGCCAUGGACUGACGCUGAGGCGCGAAAGCGUGGGGAGCGAACA